rnacentral:rRNA from 1 species
AUUGAACGCUGGCGGCAGGCCUAACACAUGCAAGUCGAACGGUAACAGGAAUCAGCUUGCUGAUUUGCUGACGAGUGGCGGACGGGUGAGUAAUGUCUGGGAAACUGCCUGAUGGAGGGGGAUAACUACUGGAAACGGUAGCUAAUACCGCAUAACGUCGCAAGACCAAAGAGGGGGACCUUCGGGCCUCUUGCCAUCGGAUGUGCCCAGAUGGGAUUAGCUAGUAGGUGGGGUAAAGGCUCACCUAGGCGACGAUCCCUAGCUGGUCUGAGAGGGUGACCAGCCACACUGGAACUGAGACACGGUCCAGACUCCUACGGGAGGCAGCAGUGGGGAAUAUUGCACAAUGGGCGCAAGCCUGAUGCAGCCAUGCCGCGUGUAUGAAGAAGGCCUUCGGGUUGUAAAGUACUUUCAGCGGGGAGGAAGGGAGUAAAGUUAAUACCUUGGCUCAUUGACGUUACCCGCAGAAGAAGCACCGGCUAACUCCGUG